GACGAACGCUGGCGGCGUGCUUAACACAUGCAAGUCGAACGGAAAGGCCCUGCUUUUGUGGGGUGCUCGAGUGGCGAACGGGUGAGUAACACGUGAGUAACCUGCCCUUGACUUUGGGAUAACUUCAGGAAACUGGGGCUAAUACCGGAUAGGAGCUCCUGCUGCAUGGUGGGGGUUGGAAAGUUUCGGCGGUUGGGGAUGGACUCGCGGCUUAUCAGCUUGUUGGUGGGGUAGUGGCUUACCAAGGCUUUGACGGGUAGCCGGCCUGAGAGGGUGACCGGCCACAUGGGGACUGAGAUACGGCGCAGACUCCUACGGGAGGCAGCAGUGGGGAAUAUUGCACAGUGGGCGGAAGCCAGAUGCAGCAACGCCGCGUGCGGGAUGACGGCCUUCGGGUUGUAAACCGCUUUCGCCUGUGACGAAGCGUGAGUGACGGUAAUGGGUAAAGAAGCACCGGCUAACUACGUG
rnacentral:rRNA from 1 species